rnacentral:lncRNA from 1 species
AUUUGUUCUAUUGUUUAUCAGUACAUACAUAUGUAUAUAUAAAUACAUAAAUAUAAUUAAACUUUUUAUCUUUUUUUUAGUCACUUUACCCUUCAAAAAUAAAUUAUUUCCUUUAUAAAACCACAUUCCCGAAUAAACACGAACAAUUAUUCCUAUUUUGGGGCAAUGGACCAGCUAUACUAAAUUUUAUUUUUCAAACACUAUGUUUUUGUUUCUUAAUCAUAUUGUCUUGCUGGAUGUUUUUAUUAAAAGUAGAUAAUAUAACAUGGUUACAAUUAUAUAAAUACGGUAGUUUAAUUAUAUGUGGAUGUAUAUUAUUUUUUACAUUUAUAUUAAAAUAUAUUGUGUAUUAUUUUAUAAUGAUAAGUAAAACGGGUUAUUUAAUUGACACGAAGUUGUUAGAAAAGGUAAAUCAAAACUAAAAUAUAAAUAAAUAGCAAAAAAAAAAAAAUAAAUAAAUAAAAUAAUACAAUAACAUAAAAAAAAAAAGAAAAAAAAAAAAAAGAAGAAAGUGUAGGAUUUUAUUUUAUUCUUCUUUUUUUAUAUUGCAAUAUAUUACUAAUAUUAUUAUUGUUUUUUCAGGUAUGGGAAUUUGAAAGAUCAGAUAACAUAAAGAGAAUAUCCGAAUUUAUUGAUGCUAUAAAAAUAAAGUCCACCUUACAUGCACUUAAAGAAGGAGGGGAUGUAUUUUGGAGACAGUUGUUAAUAAAAUCAAGCACAGUGCCAUCAAAUAUACAGGAAAAAAUGUUUUCCAUAUGGGUUAGUUUAGAUGAGGAAAAUAGAGGUGUUAUUGAUUCUGUAAAAAUAUUAAAAUUUUUAAAAUCUCAGGGAAUUAAUUUGAAUUCAGAAAAUGAUGUUAAAGAAUUCUUGGAAGUAUUUGAUAGAAAUAACAAAAAAGGUUUAAAUCAGGAAGAGUUUUUUGUUCUUAUUAUUAUAGUUAAACAAAUUCUUGUAGAACUUUUAGAUAUUAAUGCUGUUCAGUCUUUAUUCGAAGAAGUGUACUGCAUACCAUGGAAUUCGAUGUCGUCAAUUGACGUUAACAGUUUAAAAAAAAUAUUAUCCGAAGUAAGAAAAAGGAAAAAUUAUAGAAGCAACAUAUUAAUUAAACUUUACAAGUUUAUUUAAAUUAUUUGUAAUCUAUAAGUUUACCUUUUUCAAUUUAUUUUGUAAUUUUGUAAUUUAAAAUUCUUUUUUCUUUUUUUUUUUUAGUUAAACUUACAUUGGCCUUAUGGAAAAAUUCGUAAUCUAAUUGAUUUUGUAUGCGAAAAUAAAAAAAACAAAAUAUGUAAGUGCA